rnacentral:misc_RNA from 1 species
UCGUAACAAGGUUUCCGUAGGUGAACCUGCGGAAGGAUCAUUACCUAGAGUUGUAGGCUUUGCCUGCUAUCUCUUACCCAUGUCUUUUGAGUACCUUCGUUUCCUCGGCGGGUCCGCCCGCCGAUUGGACAUAUUCAAACCCUUUGCAGUUGCAAUCAGCGUCUGAACAAACUUAAUAGUUACAACUUUCAACAACGGAUCUCUUGGUUCUGGCAUCGAUGAAGAACGCAGCGAAAUGCGAUAAGUAGUGUGAAUUGCAGAAUUCAGUGAAUCAUCGAAUCUUUGAACGCACAUUGCGCCCCUUGGUAUUCCAUGGGGCAUGCCUGUUCGAGCGUCAUUUGUACCUUCAAGCUUUGCUUGGUGUUGGGUGUUUGUCUCGCCUCUGCGCGCAGACUCGCCUCAAAACAAUUGGCAGCCGGCGUAUUGAUUUCGGAGCGCAGUACAUCUCGCGCUUUGCACUCAUAACGACGACGAUCCAAAAGUACAUUUUUACACUCUUGACCUCGGAUCAGGUAGGGAUACCCGCUGAACUUAAGCAUAUCAAUAA